GAAUUCGAUUCAGGCCUAACACAUGCAAGUCAAACGGUAACGCGGGGCAACCUGGCGACGAGAAAAAAACGGGUGAGUAAUGCAUCGGAACGUGCCCAGUAGUGGGGGAUAGCCCGGCGAAAGCCGGAUUAAUACCGCAUACGACCUACGGGUGAAAGGGGGGGAUCGCAAGACCUCUCGCUAUUGGAGCGGCCGAUGUCAGAUUAGGUAGUUGGUGGGGUAAAGGCCUACCAAGCCGACGAUCUGUAGCUGGUCUGAGAGGACAACCAGCCACACUGGGACUGAGGGACGGCCCAGACUCCUACGGGAGGCAGCAGUGGGGAAUUUUGGACAAUGGGCGCAAGCCUGAUCCAUCCAAGGGGCGUGCGGGAAGAAGGCCUUCGGGUUGU
rnacentral:rRNA from 1 species